GAUUUGCGUAAGGGAUGGAAGUGGCAUCCUUUUCUAAAAUCCCGAUUUUUUUUGGGAUUUUAGAAAAAAUACAACGGACAGCCCGACCCGCA
rnacentral:sRNA from 1 species